rnacentral:lncRNA from 1 species
CACACACACACACACAUAUAUAUAUAUAUAUAUAUAUAUAUAUAAAGAAAAUGGACGGAGGCCUGCUCGAGCUAGGAGGCUGACGCUAGUGCAGAUAGCAGCUCUAAUUCCUUCCUUUGGAGACCUUGGUGAAGGCUAGUGGUCAUCAAGGUGAAGGCUAGAACUCUUCAUCAAGGUAAACUUGAAGCACAUCAUUCUCGACUUCGAACUCGUCGCCCUCCAGUCCACCGGCAAGAAGAAGAUUAGCAGGGAGGUCUGGUUUAGCAUCCGCAGGAUCAAUCACCGGCUUGUGCCUCCUGUCCGACGUGGUGUUUAAACCGUGAUUGUGUACGUACAGCAGAAAAAAAGCUAGCUAGCAUAUAGAAAAAUGGUUGACUCUGAUUGAAUGAUGGAGACAAGAGUCAAGAAACACUUAACAAUAUUAGCUCCAUAUAUAUUACUGCCGAGACUCGCUCUCCGACCUCAGAUCCUGAGUAACUAAAAUCCGAAGCUACCAACCAAAACUAUAAAUAAAGAAAUAAUAUUGCUGGAAAGAAUGGAGUUUAAUUUCAUGGUUUAUGCCACGAAGUAGAAACAUCUUAAUUUGAAAUUCCAUCAUCGAUUUGCGUCGAUUGUAAGAAGAAUUAAGGCAACAUAAUAUAUGAAGAAACUGGUAUAACAAUGUGAAUUAUUUAUUCGAUAUAUAUUACAAGUGGUACAUAACAAAUUAACAACUGAACCGAGAAGUGCUUACAUAUUUGAAUCAAAUUGUAUAUAGUACAACGAAUAAGAUCAGUUUAUAAGUGCGGAUAUAUCAAUUUUGGUACAAUAUAUGCAUGCAUAUAUAUAAAUAUGAUGAAAGAAUUUCUAACAAGAACUAGCUAUAGCUACAGAGAGAUCUGGAAACAUACGAUCGAGUAGGCUACAUUGAUUUCUGCACAGUCCUAGCUUGCAGUACGUAUUCUGAGUCUAUUUGCCCAAUACGUCUUGGGCAGUUGGUUGAGAAGAGCCACCAUCUCCAUUGUCUGAAUCAUCCUGAUCUGAACCCUGUCCAAGCAAAUCCUGAGGAGAAGGCAUGCUUGCUUGUGAUUGCUGUAAUGUUCUUGUGUCUUAUGAUCUUGAAUUGGUUAUGGAUGGAUGUUAACCAGCUUCCUUUAUUUAUAGCUACAAUUUGGUUAUACCAACGUACAUUGCUUGUGGUUUGGGUUUUAAUUUGUUUGGAAAUUAGGGUGAACCUUACCAUGCAUUGACAUACAAUUCGAUUAAGGAUUAAUUGUCAAACAUAUCGAGAUUGAGUGAAAUUCUAAAUAAUCCUAAACAUUUGACUUCAUU